UUAGAGUUUGAUCAUGGCUCAGAACGUACGCUGGCGGCACGCCUAACACAUGCAAGUCGAACGAAGUAGCAAUACUUAGUGGCAGACGGGUGAGUAACAUGUAGGUAUCUACCCUUUGGCCUGGAAUAACACGAGGAAACUUGUGCUAAUACCGGAUAAGUCUUUACGGAGAAAGCUUUAUGCACCAUUGGAUGAGCCUGCACUUGAUUAGUUUGUUGGUGGGGUAAUGGCCUACCAAGACUGUGAUCAAUAGCUGAUUUGAGAGGAUGAUCAGCCACAUUGGGACUGAGACACGGCCCAAACUCCUACGGGAGGCAGCAGUGGGGAAUCUUGCACAAUGGAGGAAACUCUGAUGCAGCGAUGCCGCGUGAGUGAAGAAGGCCCUUGGGUUGUAAAGCUCUUUCGUCGGGGAAGAAAAUGACUGUACCCGAAUAAGAAGGUCCGGCUAACUUCGUGCCAGCAGCCGCGGUAAUACGAAGGGACCUAGCGUAGUUCGGAAUUACUGGGCUUAAAGAGUUCGUAGGUGGUUGAAAAAGUUGGUGGUGAAAUCCCAGAGCUUAACUCUGGAACUGCCAUCAAAACUUUUCAGCUAGAGUAUGAUAGAGGAAAGCAGAAUUUCUAGUGUAGAGGUGAAAUUCGUAGAUAUUAGAAAGAAUACCAAUUGCGAAGGCAGCUUUCUGGAUCAUUACUGACACUGAGGAACGAAAGCAUGGGUAGCGAAGAGGAUUAGAUACCCUCGUAGUCCAUGCCGUAAACGAUGUGUGUUAGACGUUGGAAAUUUAUUUUCAGUGUCGCAGCGAAAGCGAUAAACACACCGCCUGGGGAGUACGACCGCAAGGUUAAAACUCAAAUGAAUUGACGGGGACCCGCACAAGUAGUGGAGCAUGUGGUUUAAUUCGAAGAUACGCGCAGAACCUUACCAACACUUGACAUGUUCGUCGCGACUUUAAGAGAUUAAAGUUUUCGGUUCGGCCGGACGAAACACAGGUGCUGCAUGGCUGUCGUCAGCUCGUGUCGUGAGAUGUUGGGUUAAGUCCCGCAACGAGCGCAACCCUCACUUUUAGUUGCCAUCAUUAAGUUGGGCACUCUGAAAGAACUGCCAGUGAUAAGCUGGAGGAAGGUGGGGAUGACGUCAAGUCCUCAUGGCCCUUACGUGUUGGGCUACACACGUGCUACAAUGGUAUCUACAACAGGAAGCAAGACUGCGAAGUUAAGCAAAUCCUCAAAAGAUACCUCAGUUCGGAUUGCACUCUGCAACUCGAGUGCAUGAAGCUGGAAUUACUAGUAAUCGUGGAUCAGCGUGCCACGGUGAAUGCGUUCCCG
rnacentral:rRNA from 1 species